UACGAAGGGGGCUAGCGUUGCUCGGAAUCACUGGGCGUAAAGGGUGCGUAGGCGGGUCUUUUAAGUCAGGGGGUGAAAUCCUGGAGCUCAACUCCAGAACUGCCUUUGAUACUGAAGAUCUUGAGUCCGGGAGAGGUGAGUGGAACUGCGAGUGUAGAGGUGAAAUUCGUAGAUAUUCGCAAGAACACCAGUGGCGAAGGCGGCUCACUGGCCCGGUACUGACGCUGAGGCACGAAAGCGUGGGGAGCAAACAGGG
rnacentral:rRNA from 1 species